rnacentral:rRNA from 1 species
AACGAACGCUGGCGGCAGGCUUAACACAUGCAAGUCGAGCGCCCCGCAAGGGGGGCGGCAGACGGGUGAGUAACGCGUGGGAACGUACCUUUUGGUUCGGAACAACUCCGGGAAACUGGAGCUAAUACCGGAUAAGCCCUAACGGGGAAAGAUUUAUCGCCGAAAGAUCGGCCCGCGUCUGAUUAGCUAGUUGGUGAGGUAACGGCUCACCAAGGCGACGAUCAGUAGCUGGUCUGAGAGGAUGAUCAGCCACACUGGGACUGAGACACGGCCCAGACUCCUACGGGAGGCAGCAGUGGGGAAUAUUGGACAAUGGGCGCAAGCCUGAUCCAGCCAUGCCGCGUGAGUGAUGAAGGCCUUAGGGUUGUAAAGCUCUUUUGUCCGGGAAGAUAAUGACUGUACCGGAAGAAUAAGCCCCGGCUAACUUCGUG